UACAGAGGUCUCGAGCGUUGUUCGGAUUCAUUGGGCGUAAAGGGCGCGUAGGUGGCUAGGUAAGUCGGAUGUGAAAUCCCGGGGCUCAACCCCGGAACUGCAUUCGAUACUGCCUGGCUAGAGUACUGGAGAGGAGAUUGGAAUUUACGGUGUAGCAGUGAAAUGCGUAGAUAUCGUAAGGAAGACCAGUGGCGAAGGCGGAUCUCUGGACAGUUACUGACACUGAGGCACGAAGGCCAGGGGAGCAAACGGG
rnacentral:rRNA from 1 species